rnacentral:rRNA from 1 species
AUUGAACGCUGGCGGCAUGCUUUACACAUGCAAGUCGAACGGUAACAGGCCGCAAGGUGCUGACGAGUGGCGAACGGGUGAGUAAUGCAUCGGAACGUGCCCAGUCGUGGGGGAUAACGCAGCGAAAGCUGUGCUAAUACCGCAUACGAUCUAUGGAUGAAAGCGGGGGACCGGAAGGCCUCGCGCGAUUGGAGCGGCCGAUGUCAGAUUAGGUAGUUGGUGGGGUAAAGGCCUACCAAGCCGACGAUCUGUAGCUGGUCUGAGGGGACGACCAGCCACACUGGGACUGGGAAACGGCCCAGACUCCUACGGGAGGCAGCAGUGGGGAAUUUUGGACAAUGGGCGCAAGCCUGAUCCAGCAAUGCCGCGUGCAGGAAGAAGGCCUUCGGGUUGUAAACUGCUUUUGUACGGAACGAAACGGCCUGGGUUAAUACCCUGGGCUAAUGACGGUACCGCAAGAAUAAGCACCGGCUAACUACGUGUCAGCAGCCGCAGUAAAAC